UUUAUAUGAGAGUUUGAUCCUGGCUCAGGAUGAACGCUGGCGGCGUGCCUAAUACAUGCAAGUCGAACGAGUUCUGAUUAUUGAAAGGUGCUUGCAUCUUGAUUURAUUUUGAACGAGUGGCGGACGGGUGAGUAACACGUGGGUAACCUGCCCUUAAGUGGGGGAUAACAUUUGGAAACAGAUGCUAAUACCGCAUAAAUCCAAGAACCGCAUGGUUCUUGGCUGAAAGAUGGCGUAAGCUAUCGCUUUUGGAUGGACCCGCGGCGUAUUAGCUAGUUGGUGAGGUAACGGCUCACCAAGGCAAUGAUACGUAGCCGAACUGAGAGGUUGAUCGGCCACAUUGGGACUGAGACACGGCCCAAACUCCUACGGGAGGCAGCAGUAGGGAAUCUUCCACAAUGGA
rnacentral:rRNA from 2 species